rnacentral:rRNA from 1 species
GAUUUCCGUAGGUGAACCUGCGGAGGGAUCAUUACCGAGUUUACAACUCCCAAACCCCUGUGAACAUACCUAUCGUUGCUUCGGCGGGAUGCCCCAGCUCGACUCGAGCUGGACCCAGGCGCCCGCCGGAGGACCCAAACUCUUGUUUUUAUAUGUAUCUUCUGAGUAAACAAGCAAAUAAAUUAAAACUUUCAACAACGGAUCUCUUGGUUCUGGCAUCGAUGAAGAACGCAGCGAAAUGCGAUAAGUAAUGUGAAUUGCAGAAUUCCGUGAAUCAUCGAAUCUUUGAACGCACAUUGCGCCCGCCAGUAUUCUGGCGGGCAUGCCUGUUCGAGCGUCAUUUCAACCCUCAAGCCCCCGGGCUUGGUGUUGGGGCUCGGCCCGUCCCUAGCGGAUGCGCCGUCCCCGAAAUCUAGUGGCGGUCUCGCUGUAGCCUCCUCUGCGUAGUAGCUAACACCUCGCAAUGGGAACGCAGCGCGGCCACGCCGUUAAACCCCCCACUUCUGAAGGUUGACCUCGGAUCAGGUAGGAAUACCCGCUGA